CCUACGGGGGGCAGCAGUGGGGGAUAUUGCACAAUGGGGGGAACCCUGAUGCAGCGACGCCGCGUGGGUGAAGGAGCGUUUCGGCGCGUAAAGCCCUAUCGGCAGGGAAGAAGAUGACGGUACCUGGCCAAGAAGCCCCGGCUAACUACGUGCAAGCAGCCGCGGUAAUACGUAGGGGGCAAGCGUUAUCCGGAUUUACUGGGUGUAAAGGGGGCGCAGACGGCAAUGCAAGCCAGAAGUGAAAGCCCGGGGCCCAACCCCGGGACUGCUCUUGGAACUGCAUGGCUGGAGUACAGGAGGGGCAGGCGGAAUGCCUAGUGUAGCGGUGAAAUGCGUAGAUAUUAGGAGGAACACCGGUGGCGAAGGCGGCCUGCUGGACUGUGACUGACGUUGAGGCCCGAAGGCGUGGGGAGCAAACAGGAUUAGAUACCCGUGUAGUC
rnacentral:rRNA from 1 species